rnacentral:rRNA from 1 species
AACAAACGCUGGCGGCGUGCCUAAUACAUGCAAGUCGAACGAAGAAAGCACUUCGGUGUUAUUAAGAGUGGCGCACGGGUGAGUAGCGCGUGGAUAAUCUGCCCUUGAGUGGGGAACAACCUAUCGAAAGGUAGGCUAAUACCGCAUAAGACCACAGAAGCUGCGGCUUCAGUGGUCAAAGAUUUAUCGCUUAAGGAUGAGUCCGCGUAGGAUUAGCUUGUUGGUGAGGUAAUGGCUCACCAAGGCUACGAUCUUUAGCUGGUUUGAGAGGAUGAUCAGCCACACUGGAACUGAGACACGGUCCAGACUCCUACGGGAGGCAGCAGUAGGGAAUGUUGCGCAAUGGGGGAAACCCUGACGCAGCAACGCCGCGUGAGUGAUGAAGGCUUUAGGGUCGUAAAGCUCUGUCGUAAAGGAAUAAUUUUGAAGGUACUUUACAAGAAAGGACCGGCUAACUCCGUGCCAGCAGCCGCGGUAAUACGGGGGGUCCAAGCGUUGUUCGGAAUCAUUGGGCGUAAAGCGGGUGUAGGCGGACCGAUAAGUCAGAAGUGAAAGCCCUGGGCUCAACCCAGGAAGUGCUUUUGAAACUAUCGGUCUUGAGUACAGUAGAGGAGAGUGGAAUUCCAGGUGUAGUGGUGAAAUACGUAGAUAUCUGGAGGAACAUCAGUGGCGAAGGCGGCUCUCUGGACUGUUACUGACGCUCAGACCCGAAAGCGUGGGGAGCGAACAGG